GUGAUCGGAUGAAGAGAUGCGGAAUACAUUUGCGUCAGACAUCGAUCAGAAUUGGAGAUAUCUUAUUCAAAUCGAAGUUAAAAACGAAUAUAUCGAUGAUUUUAUUUUUAAAGAAUAUAUAAAAAUAUCAAGUAUAGGAGGGACUUGGCCAUGCCCGAUCACAAAAGGACAUUUUCGAAAUCUGAACCCCGCCUAUAAUGUGCCCAGAGAAGGGAGAUGUCGGUCACAUGAAGUUACUAUAUAAUCGAUUUGGCGCAUUGGAUUUCUCAGUAUUAUAAGAAUACUCCGUGCAUCUGAACACUUGCACACAUUUACAAUGUAAAUCAACCACUAUACGAACAUGCUUGGACUUAUUACGACCAGCCACGAAAUUGAUUAGAUCUAAAAUAAUUCAUAGAUCCGGACUUAUUUGGUCAUUUUACGGUCAACCAUGGAAUCAUUCUUACUUAUAGUGAUCCUAAAACAUAACAGAAUUAUACUGGUGAAUAAGAAUCUUUCGGACUGGACUCAUCAGAAUUUGUUGGAGUUUCAAUAGUUCUUUCAAUUGGAUCCGCAUGGAAGGCACUUUUUGAUGAUGAAGAAUCCAUUUAAAAACUCAUAUUUUACCAAGAGAAUCGCAAGUCUUGCUAGUUCCUGAAGAUACAAUUAUAAAAGUAACUUUUAAUGGAAUUAGAUCGCUCAUUAGAGCGGCACUUUCUACAUUUACGGAUCAUACUACUCUACCAUCACGACCAGGCGGAAAUUUGAAUUAUGUAUCCGGAAUCUAACAACAACCAAAUCUGAAGCCAUCCACUGAUUUCUAAUCCAUUAAACGAUUUCCAAUUCUUUCACUAAUCUAUAAACCAAUCAUCAAUAUCUUGCUAUCUGCAAAAAACUUGGAAAAUUCGAAAUCAUCGACAUUGUGACGAAACAACGAUUGGCCACAAUUCUACGAGGAAAAAACCUCAAAGUGUUAUAAUAUUAUAGGUGUUAUUUCGUCUGCAAAUCUUCCCGAAGAUCAGAACGCGUUGUUACAAAGUGUAAGGAUGAGCAGAAAGUUGAUAUUUUUUUAAGGGUUUUCUGAAAUUUCUUUCUAUUUUCGUUUCGUUCAGUAUUGCUUGCACGUGUUAAAGGCUCCGUAAAAUGUAUCAUAAAAGCUAAUUAUAUUUAUUUAUUAUGUAUCAAUAACGAUAAAAGGUCAGUACAGUUGUAGACGUUGACAUUUGGAGAUCAUCAAGUAUGCUUGUUCUUGCGUCCCAAUAUUUAAUGACUUUCGGUUCCAUUGAUUGCCAGAAUUUUCUCAUUACCGUCGACAUUGUUUUUAUAUGAUCAAUUACUACUGUCGCUAUUUUUUAUUGCCUAGGGUUUAAUAUUGGUACCUAUUUAAACCACUACUUAAUCAUUAUUAAAGUAAAUAAAUUCCACCUUAAAAAA